AUUUUUUUUAAAAUUUUUUUUUCUUGAUUCUCUAGUUUUAACUGGAUUUGCCACUAUGAAGAAGUCCCAUAAUCCCUUGCAGUUUUAGCUUCUACGCUUCGCAAGAGAAUUGGUUUUCUAAAAAUAAACUGAUAAGCUGGGGAUGCCCAAACUCACCUCAAAGCAGUUGUUCAUAGAUGUUGAUGUUGACAAUUGCUUCUAAAACUCUAGGAUGGGAAUCAUUGUGGUCAACAACUUCUCUUCACCUCAUUCCUUUGUAAGUUAAAUAACAUAUUUGUACCGCUAAAUGCAGAGGUAGAAAAAGUAUUGGUUCUGAAAGCAAAUUGAUAUUCAACAAUAUUUUCUUCCAAUCUAAUUUACAAGUUCCAUCAAUUAGUGUGGUAAGUAGUACUCAGUUUUUUCCCAACAUUUUUUUUGGUUAUGAACAGUUUCCCUGAUAUUUAAUAUGGUU